GAUAAAAAUGGUUGGACGCAGACUGUAAUUUAUUCACAGCGGUAUGGCGAUAAAAAUGGUUGGACGCAGACUGUAAUUUAUUUAAGGAAAAAUUCGUGUCCGGUCGGAAAACAUGUGGAGGAUUUUAUGCGUUUAAAUGAGAAUAAUAG